CAUUGAUGAAGGACCAAGUGACAAGACUUAACUGUCUUCCAGGCAUUAAAGCAAAAUUCAGAGGUGAUGAAGAGGAAGAGGGUUUCAUUUCCAGUGGAGAGUUUGAUUAUUUGUUUGCUUCUCCUGAAAGUUUAGUUGGUGAUAAAUUCUUCAGAACAGUUCUUCAGAAUUUCAAAGUGUCAAAUAUUGUCAUUGAUGAAUUCCAUACAAUCUCAGCUUGGGGAGAUGAUGACAAUGGAAAAGAAGCCUUCCGAAGAUGGUUCCA